AUUGAACGCUGGCGGCAGGCCUAACACAUGCAAGUCGAACGAGUGGCGGACGGGUGAGCAAUGUCUGGGAAACCGCCCGACGGAGGGGGAUAACUACUGGAAACGGUAGCUAAUACCCCAUACCAUCAGAUGUGCCCAGAUGGGAUUAGCUAGUAGGUGGGGUAACGGCUCACCAAGGCGACGAUCCCUAGCUGGUCUGAGAGGAUGACCAGCCACGCUGGGACUGAGACACGGUCCAGAUUCCUACGGGAGGCAGCAGUGGGGAAUAUUGCACAAUGGGCGUAGGCCUGAUGCAGCCAUGCCACGUGUAUGAAGAAGGCCUUCGGGUUGUAAGGUACUUUCAGCGGGGAAGCGUUACCCGCAGAAGAAGCACCGGCUGACUCCGUGCCAGGAGCCGCGGUAAUAC
rnacentral:rRNA from 1 species